GUGUUUCGUUUUGGUGCGUGAUUGUUGUGUUGUGAAUGUUUCCGCUGUUUUUGUUCAGAAACAUUUUGAGCGCUGUAGUAAAAGAAACCAUUGUCCGGCGAUAAUUUAAUAAUAAGCAAGUAAACAUCGGCUCAUGCAAACAAAGCUUCCAAGGAAAUGUCCCGUGUGUAAAAGCUUUGGUGGAAUUUCAUCCCGGACAUCGUUCCCGGACCCACUCAGAGGUGGUGGCUUCACUUGGAUGAAUUUUAAUUAGUUUUUGGCGUGAUACUUAAAAGUGGAAAGCAAGAUCUCUUGCGCUUACAGUUCCAUGAUGCGAACGUAUGAAGUCGUAUGGGGUAUAUGGUCGACUUUGCCGGUCCAUCAUUUUAAUGCAAAAAAAAAAAAUUAACGCGCACAACAGAAGAAGAGGAAAUCAAACAUAAAACUGGCCCCGUUUCCGUUUGUGAAGCUGUUUUCAUUAGUGGUAGCACUAUGCAAUAACUAAUGCCUUCUUCAGCAGUCUCGCCAAACUGGAAAAGCGGUGAACUUGACAGUAAUCCCGGUGGAUUAGAACAAAGUCUUCGUGAAUCCUCCACUUCCAGCCGACAUAAUGGGAAGUUCAACACCGUCACUCAACUAUUAGCUUAAAAGCAGCAAAAACUGUUGGUGUCAGCAGCAACUGCUACAGCAGUAUCAGCAUCGGAUUUUCACCUGCUGCGUCGUCGAAACCUUCGGUGGCCGGAUCCAAUUUCGGGUCGACUAUGCGAGACCGCGCCCCCACCAUCUGCAACAAUAGGCUGUGCUAAAUGCUAAAUUCAGAUAAUAAGUACAAACAGUCUUACUCCCGUUGGCAGGAAGCGAUGUGAUGAUAGAAUGAAAGCUACAGAUUUAGAGGAAUACUAGAGCUGAGAACGAGUUGCUGCGUAUGAGGACGAUAACAGGUAAUCAAAGCUCUUGUAAUAAUAUUUUUUGCUAUUUAUUACAUUAUUUCAGUAUUUGUCCUAAAGCUAUUUUUUUACUGAAGUGCAGCAGUUGUAAAAGGAUCCACUAGAUGCAACAUAAUAAAAGGGGCGCUAAGACGGACGAAUGCUGUGGUCCUGUGUGUAUUCAUCGUAUACCGUGGAUUCCUCGCAAUGCAUGUGAAGACGUUUUUGGCUCAGGAGAUUGCCAUCGAUGCUAGUAUCAAUCUGCAGGAUAAUUGCACAUAAAAAGAAUCGUCCGUUCAACAUGAUUUUUUUUAACUCAUCGCUUUUGGAAUUUCUACAAACAGCUAAAUCGGACGAUGUCGAUUCGAUGAUGGACGUAAAAGAGCGAAAGGUUACUUAUAAUGGUUUACCGAACUCUCUGACUCCGAAGUUUGUCCCAACCAAGCAGCUGUUGCUGAUGACUAUGAGUUUCGAUUACGUAGCUUUGUAGAGAUUAGCUAUAGGAAUUCUAGUAAUUUGAUGACAGCUCCAGAUGAUGUUGAAGUAAAUAAAUAACGAUUUUCCACUUUCACUGACGAGUUGUUACCUUGUCGCGAUAGCGAUGCCACAGACACGGUCAGUGAAUGCAAUCGUCGCGAAAGUGGGUGAAACUAAAUUUGGGCCCAGUCAUAGCUUCCCUACCAAUCACCCACCGUACAAUUAAUAGCUCUGGUAUGGAUGUCCUUCACGUGCCUACAUCACAGCCUCCACCGCUUGGUCGGUCCAGUGAAAAAGAUGCAUGCACUAUACUUUUGUCGGAAGAUGAAUCCCUCAAACAAGCGUUUUGGCAGAAAAAACUGAACCCGCAUUUUGAUUCGAUCACCCGGGAGAAUUUUUUUAGUUGCCAUUAGCAAUGAUAUUAAUCUGCAGAAUGAUUCUGGUAGCCAUUUUUAUAGCCGUAACUUUUAACAUGAAACGUCAAAGAUGUAAAUGCGAGGAAAAUGCAUUAAGAAAAAUUCAAUAAAAUGAAUUUGAAGAUGAUUUACCGUGAUUUACCAUCGAAAUAAACCUCCGGUGGUACAGAACAAGGUCAUCAACAAAAAAAAGCCCAGUAGCAACAGCAACAGAAGCAUCAAAGCUAGCCCAAAACUUUGAUAACGGAGGUGUUGAAAAACUAGUAUCUUGUCAACCAAUUUCGUAAAUCGAGUCUACCAUUUCCGAAAAUUUCGGAAGGUACGAAACCGCAGUUAGACCAAGUAUAUCAACUACUUAAUCAAUAUUCCUCCGUAUUUUCUCGGAUAAUGAUGAAGUUGUGAAAAAAUCGGGAUCUCAACCUACUAGGAAAACAAGUUCGACUGCUACCACUGCAUGUGCUACAACAACAAUUGGUGCACCAACGUUCAGCUCCGGAACGAUGACUGGUAAUUUGGGUGAUUCUAUUUACGAUCAGUAUUGGUCAGUGAGAUCAUCGAAAGGAAUUUUAAUGAACAAGUUUUUUUUUAAUGUUAUUUUCAGUCAACAGAAAAAAUUUUUACGAGCAACGUUCGGCUGCAUCAAUUCGAUGGGUUCCAGAUCGAAAAGCAGGACAAGUAUUCACAUGAGAUGAAACUGUCAAUAUAGACGUACCUACCACAUCCUUAAAAUCGUCGAGUGCUUCAACAGCAUCAGACAAACAGAUUGAGCUGAGGAAAAUCGGGCGUUGGAAGUGUUUAGUCGAAUUAUUUGGAACGUUCGCAAGGGACUGUCAUUGCAGCAGCAGCGACAGAGAUUUCUUGGAGGCAAGCAUCAAUGCCAACACUGAUGGUGGUCGCACACAAGACCAAUUUAAUGGCUACGAUAAGUCGGACUGAGCCAAUCUUUCCCAACGGAUACCGCGGCCUGCCUAACCUACACUAUGAAGCACACAAGAAAAAAGUUCGACCUAAAUUCCUUGGCUGUGUACUGUGAAGAUUCUAUCGAAAUAUUCACAAACUGCUCUUCGAAGGCCCCAUUCUAAAAGAACUCUAGGUAGGGAUUGUAUGGAAUAUAUAUUUUUUACCACUCCCAACAAUGAAUAGAGCGAAUUAAUUAAAAAAAAAAAAAAGGAAACCCAGUAGCGCCACGACCAAUGAAGAGCCGUCAUCUGGUGCUGGAAACGGUUAUGACGCAGUCAUUCCCUCAGUGGUUGCAUCAACAAUUUCCGUUCCGAAGGCCACCACCAUUCCUUCCAUCCCACCAGGAAUGUUCGCCCAACACAUCGUAUCAGCCGCUGCUUAUACCUCUUCUUGUGCCAUUGCCGAUUAAGAAGCGGAAGAUGGUGACGACGAUGAUGCAUCGUUUCCAGCGAAUAUGAUCUUCGGCCAGUCAAAAUGGGCGAUGAAGAUUAGAAUCAGGUGUUCUGUGGCCGUUCAAAGUUGUUCAGGACGACAAACAGUUUAAGAGGCCUCGGCGAGUUGAAAUUUUGUGUAGCAAAACUGAUCCAAGCAAAUUUCGAAUUGUCAUGCGAGGCGAACAGAUGGACAAAAUUGCUGCCAACCAUUCCAUUGAAUAAGCUUGCGCCAAACAUCGCAAUGUUUUAUAGUCGAAGAGGCACCAAACGAAUGUAUUAGAAGAACAAAAACUAAAAAAUAA